rnacentral:rRNA from 1 species
AUUGAACGCUGGCGGCAGGCCUAACACAUGCAAGUCGAACGGUAACAGGAAGCAGCUUGCUGCUUUGCUGACGAGUGGCGGACGGGUGAGUAAUGUCUGGGAAACUGCCCGAUGGAGGGGGAUAACUACUGGAUACGGUAGCUAAUACCGCAUAACGUCGCAAGACCAAAGAGGGGGACCUUAGGGCCUCUUGCCAUCGGAUGUGCCCAGAUGGGAUUAGCUAGUAGGUGGGGUAACGGCUCACCUAGGCGACGAUCCCUAGCUGGUCUGAGAGGAUGACCAGCCACACUGGAACUGAGACACGGUCCAGACUCCUACGGGAGGCAGCAGUGGGGAAUAUUGCACAAUGGGCGCAAGCCUGAUGCAGCCAUGCCGCGUGUAUGAAGAAGGCCUUCGGGUUGUAAAGUACUUUCAGCGGGGAGGAAGGGAGUAAAGUUAAUACCUUUGCUCAUUGACGUUACCCGCAGAAGAAGCACCGGCUAACUCCGUG